GGGCAGAGUAGCUUCGAUUGUAAGCCAGCUACAACGAGACCAAUUCUCCAGUAUACAAGUUGUUCCAUUUGGUAAUGAGUACUCCCCCCAACAAGAAAAUAGACAUUUUCAUCUUCUGAACUUGGAAAAUGAAAUAAUAAUAAAAUUCGAGUUGCGGAGGGAAGCACAGGGAAGAUUCCGACUGCAGGAGGAGCAGAGACCUUUCCAGGUUCCAUUGGUUCACAUUAUGUCCUUGAGCCAGAACAGAAUUCCUAGUCCUCUUGUGCAGGUACAUGUGGAAUCUCUUUGUGAACCUGGAGAACUUUGCCAGGACCACUUGAGAAUGACACUGGCGUACGGAAGAACUACUCAACGCAUGUUGAUACCAAUAUGGUCUGCCAGACCAUCCGAAUCCACUUAGAAAGGUUCUCUGCAUCUGUUGUCAUUGGAGGAUUGACCAUAAAUACCAGUCUACAGCAUAUUACUUAUAAUACUUUGAAUUUUUUUUUAUAAUACUCCAUCCGUAGUAUAGUUCAUAAUUAAAAGGAGCUACGUUACAUUUCAUGCACCUCUAAAAGUUAGCCUUCGACCAACCUUUUAGUGGAGAAAUCGUAGCCAGGAUUCAGAUGUUGUAACAGUCUUUAGAUAAAAUGAUUUGAAGACAAAAAUCAGCUUUUAGAAGCAGGCCACUAUGAGAAGCCACUACUUUGAACAAGUUAAUUUUUUUCUCGUCUUUUCUUGCAAUCUGUUUAAGUUUUCUUCUGUCUUUUAUCCCUUUUUGUUACUUUUCAGCUGACAAUUUCAGUUUUGGUCUAGUUACAUUUGACUGACUGUUGUUUUUUUAAACAAUGAAAGCAAUUUUGCUUAUCACAGUAAGCAACUUGAAAGCAGAGUGACGUUGCUCCUUUAUAGAGGUCAAGGGACAAACGAAGGAUAGAAAAAUGUCUUAGAUUAGGAAAUCUAUAACCACUCUUGCAUGAUUACCAAAAAAAGCAAAAAACAAAAAAAAAUUAAACAGGAUGGAGUGACUUUCGUUAAGUCUUAAUUGUAGAUCUUUCACUUCAUUAGCGAAAGUGAACAACAGAGAAGAAGUAGAAUUAGUAUAAGUAUGCUGGUCAUGACUAUUUCAAUGUUGUCUGUAGCCCAGCCUAACACCAAACAUUCCAUCCUCACGCUCACCUUGAGAAAUUGGGUGACAGAGGCUAUAGUUCAGUUAUUAAAUGUAAGGUGUUUUGGCGAAAAGGCCCAAGUAACUUCUGAUGGAAUUCUGAAACAGCAUCUGGGUUGCAUUAUAUGUGCAUGAAAUGAUCAAAGAAGUUGAAUGGAAACAAGGACUCACUUGGGACCUUUUCUUUUAAUCCCUGCAAUGAUUGUCUGGGUAAAAUUGCAAUGCUUCAUGAAAGCUGAAACUCUUGAAAGCGAUUAACACUGGAAAGUAAUACUAACAGUGUUAGAAAAUCCAAAUUUGCCUUUUUGAGAAUUCCAUGACUUCUUUCAGCCCUAUGUUUUCACACGCACACAAACAGGUUCAUUUAUGGUCCAAAGUUUGUCUGUUUGUUUUUUUUUUAACAAAUCAGAAAGGAAAUUAAACCUUGUUGAGUGUGUGAUAUUGCUCCUUUUGUAAUAGGCUAUAUUUGAUCAAAACCUGCAAUAUAUCAGUGUGGAAUUCUCAAAAGGGACCUACAGUGGCUGAUAACAAUUUAUCGAAGAUCUUUGACAAAAAUUGAAUAUGAUACCACCACCCAUAGAAUGGAUCAGUAAUAUAGACUGCAACAUAGACUAUAACUGCUGUUGUAUCAAGGAAGUACUCACCAUCAUAAAACAAAAUAGCUUACCAAAACACACCACAAUUUGUCAACAAUACUGAGUUAAGAAAAUCUAUGGACAUGUUCUUCCAUACAGACCACAAUUAUUACCUUGAAAUACAUGUACAUGUAUCAUGAACUGAGCAGUGGGUGGUGGUGUCAUAUGAAAUCUAAUUAUCAAAAGAUCUGUAGAUUGUUGCAGCCAUCAUAGAGCCUGGUGUAAACUAAGCAAUAUUAUCACCACUUCCAAGUUGUGAUAGUAUUGCUUUGACUACACAAGGCUGAGAGCUGUCAGCAUGAUAAGCCUUAAUUCAAAUUUGCAAGCUAGUUUAAUUGUUAUAGGAUUGUUAUGUAUUUAAUUAGUACAAUAAUUAUCUCUUUCACGUUAAGUAAACAUUUAUCAUAAUUCUUAAGUUUGGCUUUCCAUUCUGACAGCUGCAUAAAUACAUGACAUUCAUUCAUGACCUUAAAAUAUGAUCAUGUUCUCUCAAGCCAUAUCAAAAUUUAUGUUUGGUGUAACUCUAAAAAUUCUUCUUGUGCAUUUAAUAUCACACUAGAUUACAAUUCUUGUAGCUGCCCAUAUUAAGCCUCAUAAUUUUUUCAAAAUGAUCUGUCAGUCCUGAUUGUUGCCAAAUUACUUGAAAGUCAUCAUAAGUAGAUAAGGUAUUGGCCAUGAAUGAAUGUCAUGUAUUUGUCACUUGUACAUUGUUUUUUAAUAUAAAUAGUCAGUAUGGUUAACUAUCACAUUCAGAAAACUAAGAACAUCUGAAAUAUAACCAAAAUGUUUAAUGUGUUAUGACAAGUUAACGACAUUUCUGUCAGAAAGCAGAGAAAAACUAGAAAACCACAAGUUAUUUACUGUUCAAUUUAACAAUUUAGUUAUCUCACUCAACACAGCUAGAAAUACAAGAAAUAAUUUCAGAGUUCACUGUUUUCUGAACAUGAUAGUUAACCAUUAGACAGCCAAGUCUGCAAGACCUAGUAAUUGUAACAAUUCUUUAUCUAAGUUUAUUUGCUGACCUUGAAGUUAGAUCAUUUUUAUGUCAAGUGGGAAUGUGGUUUUGAUUUUUCUAUUUUGGCUUGAUCAUUUAUAGUAGUGUUAAUGUUACUUCAUAGCACAAUGUUUUUGUGAAUUGGUUUUACAAGUAACUCACAAUGCAGCUUAUGAAUGUUUAUUUUGUUAUUUUUUGGGGUGAACCAAGACAAGUUUUGAUUAAUUAAGUAAAUUUGCUGUGUGCUUAAUUAUUUCUAUCUUAGAUCAUGAAUAAGUAAUAAAUAAAUAAGUAAUUAACACUUUCUUUCAUUCUUCAGACUUGGCUGUUGUAUAUAAAACUAAAGAGCAUGACAGGGUCACAUGGGAUCACAAAAUUUAUCUUCUUAAUUAGAUGUUUCCCAUUUCUUUCUUUCAUAUACUCAAGAAAAUAAGAAUUUGUACUCCCAAGUGACCAAUAUCACACAGGCAUUGAUGAAUUAGCUAAUGGUGACAAUGUGUUUCAAAGAAAAUCUGGGUGGUAGUCUCAUUACAUUUUUAAUUUACCUUUGUUAAUUGUGGAGAAAGCAAACACAAAAAUACUUAUAUCUACUUUUCAUUUUUCAAUGUCAUUUAGAAGUAACAGGAGAAAUCCCUGCAGUUCAUCAAUAUCUGUGCAAUAUUCAUGUUCUUGCGUGAAACUUUUUGUAAGGUUUUAAGUAUACUGUAAAUGAAGGAUAUGCACACAACAGAUAUGUAGUAAUAACCCCUGCUAUAAGAACAUCUGGCUCUUUCAUUUUCCCUACCCUUUUUGAAAAACACAGUUGUCCUAAGCUCACAUUUCAAGAAAAAGCAAACAAUCAAUUCAUGAAAGCAUCACAAGCUGUGUGAUGCAGUGUUAAGUUAUGCAAGGAACGGUUGAGAAUUUGUAUGCAUCACAUGGAAUGGUAAGGACAAAGAUAUAUGGCUGAUUAAAACGCUAAAUAUUCCAAACUAGGCAUAUUCUGCAUACAAGAUUAAUACAACUACUCACUCCUCAUGUGACCACAACAGACACACAAGGAGUGAGUAAUUUUCAUUGAUCUUACACAUUGAAUGUUUAUAUUUCUGUAUAUUUGGCAUUGUUAAUCAACUAUAUUUCUUUCUCUUUACUAUUCCUUGUAAAGCAUUCAAACUCUCAAUGGUUCCUUGUGUAACUUAACACUGUGUCACACAGCAUGUGAUGCUUUCAUGAAUUAAUCUUUUGCUUUUUCUGGAGAUGUGAGCUAGGGAUGCUAGUGCAACAACAUGCAAACUAUAGAGUUGGAGAUGGAUAACUGCAUAUCUGUUUCACGCUGCCAACUAUAUGUCUCAUGUUGCAGACUUCUUGGUAGACAGGUGUGCCAUCAUGCAACAUGCAAAAGGUCAUUUCUUGAGAAAGGAUGGGAUGGGGGAAUAGAAAUCUUUAAUUCUGGUCAACGAUUGACAGCAGCAUGAAUGAAAUUGCAAGUCUAGCUCUGAGCCUUAAAGUAAGCAUGCUUUUAAAAAGCACAGGAAUCAAAACUACAUGUAAAAAAGAUCUUCAAGCAUGAUUGGUCAUCAGUCAACCCCUACCUUGACAGGCUAAUACCAUUUGUAGGUUGUGCAUAUUCUGUUUCUUCUGUUUUUUUGUUAGCAUACACUUUGUCCCUAUAUAAUCAAACCUAUAUACCUUUAAGUUAGUGAGAAUAAAACUGAAAGCAUA